rnacentral:rRNA from 1 species
UACGGGGGGGGCAAGCGUUGUUCGGAAUUACUGGGCGUAAAGGGCUCGUAGGCGGCCAACUAAGUCAGACGUGAAAUCCCUCGGCUUAACCGGGGAACUGCAUCUGAUACUGGAUGGCUUGAGGCCGGGAGAGGGUAGCGGAAUUCCCAGUGUAGCGGUGAAAUGCGUAGAUAUUGGGAGGAGCACCAGUGGCGAAGGCGGCUACCUGGACCGGUUCUGACGCUGAGGCGCGAAAGCGUGGGGAGCGAACGGG